rnacentral:rRNA from 1 species
GACGUAGGAUGCGAGCGUUGUUCGGAUUUAUUGGGCGUAAAGCGUACGUAGGCGGCUUUUUAAGUCUGGUGUUAAAGCUAGGGGCUCAACCCCUGUGAUGCACUGGAAACUGGGAAGCUUGAGUGUGGUAGGGGAAGGUGGAAUUCCGAGUGUAGCGGUGAAAUGCGUAGAUAUUCGGAAGAACACCGGUGGCGAAAGCGACCUUCUGGGCCAUUACUGACGCUGAGGUACGAAAGCUUGGGGAGCGAACGGG